rnacentral:rRNA from 1 species
GACUCUCGGCAACGGAUAUCUCGGCUCUCGCAUCGAUGAAGAACGUAGCGAAAUGCGAUACUUGGUGUGAAUUGCAGAAUCCCAUGAACCAUCGAGUCCUUGAACGCAAGUUGCGCCUGAGGCCACUCGGCCGAGGGCACGCCUGCCUGGGCGUCA